CAGCAGCCGCGGUAAUACGUAGGUGGCAAGCGUUGUCCGGAAUUAUUGGGCGUAAAGGGCUCGCAGGCGGUUUCUUAAGUCUGAUGUGAAAGCCCCCGGCUCAACCGGGGAGGGUCAUUGGAAACUGGGAAACUUGAGUGCAGAAGAGGAGAGUGGAAUUCCACGUGUAGCGGUGGAAUGCGUAGAGAUGUGGAGGAACACCAGUGGCGAAGGCGACUCUCUGGUCUGUAACUGACGCUGAGGAGCGAAAGCGUGGGGAGCGAACAGGAUUAGAGACCCGAGUAGUCCCUGUCUCUUAUAC
rnacentral:rRNA from 1 species